rnacentral:rRNA from 1 species
UACAGAGGUCUCAAGCGUUGUUCGGAUUCAUUGGGCGUAAAGGGUGUGUAGGUGGCGCCGUAAGUCGGGUGUGAAAUCUCGGGGCUUAACUCCGAAACUGCAUCGAUACUGCGGUGCUUGAGGACUGGAGAGGAGACUGGAAUUCGAUGGUGUAGCAGUGAAAUGCGUAGAGAUCAUGAGGAAGACCGUGGCGAAGGCGGGUCGUCGUGGACAGUUCCUGACAGCUGAGACACGAAGGCCAGGGGAGCAAACGGG